rnacentral:rRNA from 1 species
UACGUAGGGUGCAAGCGUUAAUCGGAAUUACUGGGCGUAAAGCGUGCGCAGGCGGUUAUGCAAGACAGAUGUGAAAUCCCCGGGCUCAACCUGGGAACUGCAUUUGUGACUGCAUGGCUAGAGUACGGUAGAGGGGGAUGGAAUUCCGCGUGUAGCAGUGAAAUGCGUAGAUAUGCGGAGGAACACCGAUGGCGAAGGCAAUCCCCUGGACCUGUACUGACGCUCAUGCACGAAAGCAUGGGGAGCAAACAGG